GACGAACGCUGGCGGCGUGCUUAACACAUGCAAGUCGAACGGAAAGGCCCUGCUUUUGUGGGGUGCUCGAGUGGCGAACGGGUGAGUAACACGUGAGUAACCUGCCCUUGACUUUGGGAUAACUUCAGGAAACUGGGGCUAAUACCGGAUAGGAGCUCCUGCUGCAUGGUGGGGGUUGGAAAGUUUCGGCGGUUGGGGAUGGACUCGCGGCUUAGCAGCUUGUUGGUGGGGUAGUGGCUUACCAAGGCUUUGACGGGUAGCCGGCCUGAGAGGGUGACCGGCAACAUUGGGACUGAGAUACGGCCCAGACUCCGACGGGAGGCAGCAGUGGCGAAUAGUGCACAAUGGGAGGAAGCCUGAUGCAGCAACGCCGCGUGCGGGAUGACGGCCUUCGGGUUGUAAACCGCUUUCGCCUGUGACGAAGAGUGAGUGACGGUAAUGGGUAAAGAAGCACCGGCUAACUACGUG
rnacentral:rRNA from 1 species